rnacentral:rRNA from 1 species
GAUGAACGCUGGCGGCGUGCCUAAUACAUGCAAGUCGAGCGAACAGACGAGGAGCUUGCUCCUCUGACGUUAGCGGCGGACGGGUGAGUAACACGUGGAUAACCUACCUAUAAGACUGGGAUAACUUCGGGAAACCGGAGCUAAUACCGGAUAAUAUAUUGAACCGCAUGGUUCAAUAGUGAAAGACGGUUUUGCUGUCACUUAUAGAUGGAUCCGCGCCGCAUUAGCUAGUUGGUAAGGUAACGGCUUACCAAGGCAACGAUGCGUAGCCGACCUGAGAGGGUGAUCGGCCACACUGGAACUGAGACACGGUCAAGACUCCUACGGGAGGCAGCAGUAGGGAAUCUGCCGCAAAGGGCGAAAGCCUGACGGAGCAACGCCGCGUGAGUGAUGAAGGUCUUCGGAUCGUAAAACUCUGUUAUUAGGGAAGAACAAAUGUGUAAGUAACUAUGCACGUCUUGACGGUACCUAAUCAGAAAGCCACGGCUAACUACGUG